CUCACAGUUGGAAUGAGUUCCCUAAUUUCAACAGUCAUGGGAGGUGCUAUGGACUUGUGUCCCUGCCAAAUUCAUACAUUAAAGCCUUAACCUGCAAUGUGACAGUUUUUGGAGAUGGGGUCUUUGGGAGGUAAUUAGGUUUAGAUGAGGUCAUGAGGGAUUAGUGCCUUUAUAAGAAGAGACCAGAGAGCUCCCCUUCUCUACCAUAUGAGGGUGCAGCAAGAAAGCAGGCAUCUACAAGCCCAGGCGAGAGCACUCACCAAGAAUGCAAUUGGCCAGCACCUUGAUCUUGGAUUCCCAGGCUCUAAGACUAUGAAAAAUAAAUGCGUAUUGUUGAAGUCAUCCAUUCUAUGCGAUUUUGUUAUAGCAGCCCUAGCAGACUAAGACAGGAAGAUCUUGGGAUGUCUAAGCAAAGCAGUAGAACUUGAACACCAAGAGCAAAGCGGAUGUGCCUGUCUUAACAAACAGGAAGGCUGGUCAAUCAGAAUGGACUGGCCUGAGGAAAUUUUUGGUUGUGCCAAUUUACAUGGAUCACUGUCUGAAGGCAACCCCAUUACUGCUGAGCCUUUGAGCAGCUUCUAGCCAUGCAAUCCCAGAAGAAUCACCGUACGAUGUCGAACCCCACCACGUGAGACAGUGAAGCUUUGUGAUAAUGAAGAAGAAGGCCUUGAAAAUCCAGUGGGAAAAUCCUGAACAAUGUGAUCUGGUAGAAAGAACAUUAACUUUAGAGCCAGACAGAAUUGGAUUCUAAAGCUGCCUCAACUACUUACUUCGACAGACUACUAAUUGCACGGCCUCGGGCAAGUUACUUAACCUCUUCACCCUUACUUUCUACUGUAAAUUACGAUCCUCAACGGGGUGUUU
rnacentral:lncRNA from 1 species